CACACACACACACACACACACAGAGCCUGCAUGUGCACCAUGAAGAGGAAGGAAGUCUCCUGGGGCUGGGGAGUUGAAGAAUCUGCACAUGAGACUUGAAUGUGUUAAACUUGAUCUCAUAUCUUUUUGUUUUUGGUUAAAUUAAAACUAUAUUGUCCUGGAUUAUAUUAUUAUCCAUGCAAUCAGCUGGCUGGCACAAGCGAUUUAAAAACCAGUAAUAAUAAUGAUGGUGGCAAUGUGAUUAAGUUUGGUUAAAGUAAAUCUAGAUGUAUUUUACAGAGAGGGAGAAGUAAGAACAGGCAGCACCAUGUCAAGCUAGUUUCUCGGGAUGAGUUCGGGAUAAUCUUUCAAACUGGCUAACUGGAGGAAUGCUGUCUGGAGCGCUGGGAAUGCUUUUGGAAAACCGGUUUGUUUGGGACCUGCUGGAUGGAGGAGAGGUGAGGUGAGGUACACUGCAGAAGCCAGACCAACAGCAUCAAGCUUUCCUGUACUCGCAGAUUGCGCCUGGGUUGAACACGCAGCUGCAUUGUCUAGAGCUGCACGGAAUGAACGAAGCUGUUCCGCGGGCCGCGCUGCACCCCUCCGCACCCCCGCCCCGAACAGUAAGAGUUUAUGUGCUGUGGGAACCUCUGGAACCAGCGUAUUCACUCUUACAGUUCCUGGCGGCAGGGAGACAAGCCUUCACACCUGCAAAGAGGAUAUAUCAAACACGGGCUUAGGCUGUGAACACUGCAUUGCGGAUCCCCUUAUCGAAAGCGUGACACUGUAAAAGCACAGCAAAGUGUAAUCGAGUGUUGUAAAGCUGCUUUUAAACGUAGCAAACAAUUGCACAUGUAGCGUGGAAACUGUGCCAAGCCUCAAUUAAUUGUGAUGCUGGUAAAGAUGACGUUUUGCACUGAAUACGCCAAACAAUUUUUGAAUGAUGAAUAAAUAAAUGUGACUGAUAGUUGAAUAUGAUGAGCACACAGAAAAAAAAAGUCAACUGUUACUGAUAAUCUCCUCUUGUAUGAGUACAACAGCUCGUUAGUUUAAUUAAAGCUCAAAGGCUUGAAAUGUCGUUAGCGGUAGUUGUUGUUUCGGCGCCCUCUGCUGGUGGAGUGUUGGUACUGCUGGUAUGAUCAGAUUCACGGGUUGCAGUGGACUGUGUUUGUUACCCGAAUCUGGAUCACGGCGCCAAGGUCUUGUUUUUAAAUGUAUUUAUUAUUUAUUUUUUAAAUUAUAAGUAGGGCUUCUGAUUGUUGCUGUUUUACCCCGACUUUUCUGCUCUCAAUUCAUAAUACUUCUUAAUCCACUCGUGUAUCUCAACCACACUGUCAUAUACGUGUCAAUAGUAACAUUGAUUGAUUUAAAGUGGCUUUUAAAACCGGACAAGCCUUUGAUUUACAAGCAGAACGUGCAAAGGAGGUCGCAACGCGCUAAUAAACCCAUCUGUAUUGAAGAUGUAAUGAAGUAUUUUAUGCUGGACACGUUAUCACGACCGUUCUGCGGGACUGUAUUCACAGUAAUGCCGAGGAGCGUCGCUUCUGCUUGGAAAUGAAAAAAAAAAAAAAGUAAAUGAAAUCCGUUUGAACACGUUUCUCAGUGUGAUUGAGAUACACGAAUCGCUUGACAUGUAUCAAGUGAAUUCUUAAAGGCGAGUGGAACGGCAGUGUUGCGAUGCAGUAACUUGCAGCUUGAGGUUCGCUGAUGUGUAGCAGGAUCGGGCAGCAAUAACUGAAGGAAUCCUGAAGGGUGGCGCUAAGCUCCAGUGUAACUUGCUAAGGCUUUUUAUGCAACGAGCCUCUUAUUGGAACUUCAUGUAACCCUUUUACCACAGUAAACACGCAUGGCAAUUGU